rnacentral:rRNA from 1 species
UACGUAGGUGGCAAGCGUUGUCCGGAUUUACUGGGCGUAAAGAGCGCGCAGGCGGUCGUACAAGUCGCGUGUGAAAGCCCCCGGCUCAACUGGGGAGGGUCACGCGAUACUGUCCGACUCGAAGGCAGGAGAGGGAAGCAGAAUUCCCGGUGUAGUGGUGAAAUGCGUAGAUAUCGGGAGGAAUACCAGUGGCGAAGGCGGCUUCCUGGCCUGUUCUUGACGCUGAGGCGCGAAAGCUAGGGUAGCAAACGGG